ACGGGUGAGUAACGCGUGGAUAAUCUACCCUUAAGAUGGGGAGUAACGGCUGGAAACGGUCGCUAAUACCGAAUACGCUCCCGAUUUUAUCGUUGGGGGAAAGAUGGCCUCUGCUUGCAAGCUAUCGCUUAAGGAUGAGUCCGCGUCCCAUUAGCUAGUUGGCGGGGUAGCGGCCCACCAAGGCAACGAUGGGUAGCCGGUCUGAGAGGAUGACCGGCCACACUGGAACUGGAACACGGUCCAG
rnacentral:rRNA from 1 species